AAUCAGGUUUUUUUAGAAACCACUCACACAACUAGUCUUUGUAUA
rfam:Hordeum vulgare subsp. vulgare, WGS project CAJW01000000 data, contig: morex_contig_83470